rnacentral:lncRNA from 1 species
AGAUUUAUUCUAUCUAUGCUAGCCUAACCCAUCAUGUGAGUGAAUAUUCUAUGGCUGCACGAAUUCUAUCUUUCAUCCAAGAACAAGUCCAAGCUGCACAAGGCUACUCCAAGCCGGUUAAUGAUUCAUUCAUGAGCACAUAUAACCAAGGUUCGAGGAACCAUCACAAUUUUUUUUAGAAAUCCUAACAGACUCAAGCUUAGAUCCAAAUUUUUUUUGUGCAAAACUUUCAAAAUAGGCCCCAAUACUAGAACUGUACCUAUAAUAGAGGUUAGCCUAUCCAACCACCAU